GCCUGGGUGGCUCAGUCGGUUAAGCAUCUGCCUUCAGCUCAGGUCAUGAUCUCGAGGUCUUGGGAUCGAGUCCCACAUCAGGCU
rnacentral:tRNA from 1 species